rnacentral:rRNA from 1 species
AUUGAACGCUGGCGGCAGGCCUAACACAUGCAAGUCGAGCGGAUGAAGGGAGCUUGCUCCUGGAUUCAGCGGCGGACGGGUGAGUAAUGCCUAGGAAUCUGCCUGGUAGUGGGGGAUAACGUCCGGAAACGGGCGCUAAUACCGCAUACGUCCUGAGGGAGAAAGUGGGGGAUCUUCGGACCUCACGCUAUCAGAUGAGCCUAGGUCGGAUUAGCUAGUUGGUGGGGUAAAGGCCUACCAAGGCGACGAUCCGUAACUGGUCUGAGAGGAUGAUCAGUCACAGGGAAAGGAGGAACAGGACCACAAGGCGAGGGGAGGGAGCAGUGGUAAAGAUAGGCGGAACAGCGAAGGACGGGUGCGGCGAGGCGGGUAGAGUGAAGAAGGUGUUGGAGUGGUAAGGCAAGUUAAGUUGGGAGGGAGGAAAGUAUGUUAAUUACUAGGUGUGUUGACGUGGAAAACAGAAGAAGCACCGACUAACUUCGUGACAGCAGCCUCGGUAAAAAGGGGAAGAGCACACAUCUGAAC